rnacentral:lncRNA from 1 species
GAUGAUGAUGAAUGAGGCCUAUUGCAUAUUAUGUGUGCAUAUAUAUGUUAUAGUAGUUGAUAAAUGCAAUUGUCCCAGAAUUUUUUGAUGUCAUGGGAAACAGGUUGACAACAUGUUGGCAAUGUAUUCACUGAAUGCAAUUACUAAGAGAUGUAAUGAACAACAAGCUGACAACAUGUUGCCAACGUGUUGGCUGCUUCGAUUAAGAUUUUGUAUAUAAACUAAUAACUGAAUUAUUUAGUGGUAAUUUUGUAUUAAUAUGAUUUGCUUA